rnacentral:rRNA from 1 species
UGAGGAAUAUUGGUCAAUGGGCGUAAGCCUGAACCAGCCAAGUCGCGUGAGGGAUGAAGGUUCUAUGGAUCGUAAACCUCUUUAUUAAGGGAAUAAAGUGCGGGAACGUGUCCUGUUUUGUAUGUACCUUAUGAAUAAGGAUCGGCUAACUCCGUGCCAGCAGCCGCGGUAAUACGGAGGAUCCGAGCGUUAUCCGGAUUUAUUGGGUUUAAAGGGUGCGUAGGCGGCCUUUUAAAGUCAGCGGUGAAAGUCUGUGGCUCAACCAUAGAAAUUGCCCGUUGAAACUGGGAGGCUUGAGUAUGUUUGAGGCAGGCGGAAUGCGUGGUGUAGCGGUGAAAUGCUUAGAUAGUCACGCAGAACCCCGAUUGCGAAAGGCAGCCUGCCAAGCCAUGACUGACGCUGAUGCACGAAAGCGUGGGGAUCAAAACAGGAUUAGAUACC